ACGAGUGAGGGUCUUCACCGGCCCGACCUCCCAACCCUUUGUUUACUCAACCCAUGUUGCUUCGGCGGACCCGUCCGCAAGGACCGCCGGAGGGUCGUCACGGAUCCUCUGGCCCGCGUCCGUCGACAGCCCCAUUAUAACUCUUGAAUGAAUCGUGUAUUACUUCUGAGUCAAAACAUAAAUAAAAGCAA
rnacentral:misc_RNA from 1 species